GCGCUGCUGACGAGUCCCAAAUGGGACGAAACAACUGUCCAGUGC
rnacentral:hammerhead_ribozyme from 1 species